UCCCUCGUAGCCCAAUUGGUAGAGGCGGCACGCUCAGACCGUGUCACGUGUGAGUUCGAAUCUCACCGAGGGAA
rnacentral:tRNA from 1 species